CCUACGGGAGGCAGCAGUGGGGAAUAUUGGGCAAUGGGCGCAAGCCUGACCCAGCAACGCCGCGUGAAGGAAGAAGGCUUUCGGGUUGUACACUUCUUUUAAGGGGGAAGAGCAGAAGACGGUACCCCUUGAAUAAGCCACGGCUAACUACGUGCCAGCAGCCGCGGUAAUACGUAGGUGGCAAGCGUUGUCCGGAUUUACUGGGUGUAAAGGGCGUGCAGCCGGAGAGACAAGUCAGAUGUGAAAUCCACGGGCUCAACCCAUGAACUGCAUUUGAAACUGUUUCCCUUGAGUGUCGGAGAGGUAAUCGGAAUUCCUUGUGUAGCGGUGAAAUGCGUAGAUAUAAGGAAGAACACCAGUGGCGAAGGUGGAUUACUGGACGAUAACUGACGGUGAGGCGCGAAAGCGUGGGGAGCAAACAGGAUUAGAUACCCCUGUAGUC
rnacentral:rRNA from 1 species